CACCAAAAGAAGAGUCAUCCAAAAGACUACUUCCAAUAGGAUUGGGAGAACUUAAGUUUAAGUACCACUCCAUCGUCUCCAUCAUGUUAGGAACACUUGGAAUUGAAUUUAGUGAGUAACAAGGGGAGAAAAGCACCAAACAAGAAAUCUAAGUUCUGUGUUGAUGAGGAACCAA